UCUUGAUUUUCAUCUUACGUGUUUCUGAGCUUGGACCAAUAGGCAAAAAUUUAGGGAGGUCUGUUUCAGUUACAGGGAAGGAUGACCUUUCCAUGAGUAACAUCUGUCUAAGGUGGAAUAACUCCUGCACUUUCAAAAGCCUUGUUGCUUUUAAUCCCCUCUACAACCUCCUGAUCCCCAUUUUACAGGUCUGAAAACCAAGGCUCAGGAG
rnacentral:lncRNA from 1 species